CUCAAAAAGACCGUCCCAGUUCGGAUCGCAGGCUGCAACCCGCCUGCGUGAAGUUGGAAUCGCUAGUAAUCGCGGAUCAGCAUGCCGCGGUGAAUACGUUCCCGGGCCUUGUACACACCGCCCGUCACACCAUGAGAGUCGGGAACACCCGAAGUCCGUAGCCUAACCGCAAGGGGGGCGCGGCCGAAGGUGGGUUCGAUAAUUGGGGUGAAGUCGUAACAAGGUACC
rnacentral:rRNA from 1 species